AGUGCGGAAUAGCUCAGGGAAACUUGGAGUAAUACCGUAUACGCCCGAAAGGGGAAAGAAUUUCGCUAUAGGAUGGGCCCGCGUAGGAUUAGCUAGUUGGUGAGGUAAUGGCUCACCAAGGCGACGAUCCUUAGCUGGUUUGAGAGAACGACCAGCCACACUGGGACUGAGACACGGCCCAGACUCCUACGGGAGGCAGCAGUGGGGAAUAUUGGACAAUGGGCGCAAGCCUGAUCCAGCCAUGCCGCGUGAGUGAUGAAGGCCUUAGGGUUGUAAAGCUCUUUUGCCGGGGACGAUAAU
rnacentral:rRNA from 1 species